rnacentral:rRNA from 1 species
CUUAUGCGUUGUUGGGUAGGGGAGCGUUCUGUAAGCCUGCGAAGGUGUGCUGUGAGGCAUGCUGGAGGUAUCAGAAGUGCGAAUGCUGACAUAAGUAACGAUAAAGCGGGUGAAAAGCCCGCUCGCCGGAAGACCAAGGGUUCCUGUCCAACGUUAAUCGGGGCAGGGUGAGUCGACCCCUAAGGCGAGGCCGAAAGGCGUAGUCGAUGGGAAACAGGUUAAUAUUCCUGUACUUGGUGUUACUGCGAAGGGGGGACGGAGAAGGCUAUGUUGGCCGGGCGACGGUUGUCCCGGUUUAAGCGUGUAGGCUGGUUUUCCAGGCAAAUCCGGAAAACUAAGGCUGAGGCGUGAUGACGAGGCACUACGGUGCUGAAGCAACAAAUGCCCUGCUUCCAGGAAAAGCCUCUAAGCAUCAGGUAACAUCAAAUCGUACCCCAAACCGACACAGGUGGUCAGGUAGAGAAUACCAAGGCGCUUGAGAGAACUCGGGUGAAGGAACUAGGCAAAAUGGUGCCGUAACUUCGGGAGAAGG